AGUGAACGCUGGCGGUAGGCCUAACACAUGCAAGUCGAACGGCAGCACAGUAAGAGCUUGCUCUUACGGGUGGCGAGUGGCGGACGGGUGAGGAAUACAUCGGAAUCUACUUUUUCGUGGGGGAUAACGUAGGGAAACUUACGCUAAUACCGCAUACGACCUACGGGUGAAAGCAGGGGAUCUUCGGACCUUGCGCGAUUGAAUGAGCCGAUGUCGGAUUAGCUAGUUGGCGGGGUAAAGGCCCACCAAGGCGACGAUCCGUAGCUGGUCUGAGAGGAUGAUCAGCCACAAUGGAACUGAGAAACGGUCCAGACUCCUAAGGGAGGCAGCAGUGGGGAAUAUUGGACAAUGAGCGCAAGCCUGAUCCAGCCAUACCGCGUGGGUGAAGAAGGCCUUCGGGUUGUAAAGCCCUUUUGUUGGGAAAGAAAAGCAGCAGGUUAAUACCCCGCUGUUCUGACGGUACCCAAAGAAUAAGCACCGGCUAACUUCGUG
rnacentral:rRNA from 1 species